GAGGCACUCGGUUGGGGUGCCAGGUGGUCUGCCACAGAGGAUAUCUUAUUUCAUGAGAUUCUUUAAUAGAUAUUUGGAUGUUCCAGACAAUCAACAAACAUAUCAACAUUUGUGUUAUUAUAAUGCAUUGCUCUAUAAGUCAUAAUGAGCAAAAUAUGUCAUAUUUGAAUAGAUAGCAUUACUCAUCCAGUACUUUAACAAAG